AGCGCUCUUCUUCCAGAUCUUCAUCCUCUGCACCUGGAAGGCCGACUCCAAAUUUCCUCGUGUUUGUGAAGUCACUUUGUACAAUCCAGUGCGGAGCAUCCCUGGCCUCCUGCAGAUUAUUCCCUCACCUUUUACUUGGUGUUUACUGAGGCCUGCAGCUUCCAGGCACCACUCAAGUUUCUGCUGGAGAUAAAGCAUGAAGAAAACGAAAGGUCUCCAUUCAUCAAGCUUCAUCGCAGUGCAAAUCGCAAUCAAGUCUCAAGUUCUGCCAUAGUGAGUGAAUCUGGAUCAGGUCUGUAAAGGAGCACAAUUGGAGAGAAAGAUUGGAGAAGAAGUUAGAAAGAUUCAGAGCCUGAGGUGGGGGAGCUGGAGUUGGUUCCUCCUACAGAGAGAAGCCACCAGAGGCCUGGAGGGAGAGUAACAUAUUUACGGUUUAUUAAAAGUUGGGGCACCUGAGUGGCUCAGUCAGUUAAGUGUUUGCCUUCGACUCAGGAUCCUGGGAUUCUGGGAUCCAGCACAUUGGGGUCCCUGCUCCGCGGGGAGUCUGCUUCUCCCUCUCCCUCUGCAGCUGCCCCUGCUUGUGCGCUCUCGAACUCUCUCUCUCUGUCAAAUAAAUAAACAAAAUCUUUAAAAAUAAAACAAAACAA